ACACAUGNCAGUCGUGCGGAUGNCUUCAGGGAGCUUGCUCCUUGAAGUGUUAGCGGCGGAUGGGUGAGUAACACGUGGGCAACCUGCCCUACAGAUGGGGAUAACUCCGGGAAACCGGGGCUAAUACCGAAUAAACAGUUUGUCCGCAUGGACAAACUCUGAAAGACGGUUUCGGCUGUCACUGUAGGAUGGGCCCGCGGCGCAUUAGCUAGUUGGUGGGAUAACGGCCUACCAAGGCAACGAUGCGUAGCCGACCUGAGAGGGUGAUCGGCCACACUGGGACUGAGACACGGCCCAGACUCCUACGGGAGGCAGCAGUAGGGAAUCUUCCACAAUGGACGAAAGUCUGAUGGAGCAAUGCCGCGUGAGUGAAGAAGGUUUUCGGAUCGUAAAGCUCUGUUGUAAGGGAAGAACAAGUAUGGGAGUAACUGCCCGUACCUUGACGGUACCUUAUUAGAAAGCCACGGCUAACUACGUGCCAGCAGCCGCGGUAAUACGUAGGUGGCAAGCGUUGUCCGGAAUUAUUGGGCGUAAAGCGCGCGCAGGCGGCCUUUUAAGUCUGAUGUGAAAGCCCCCGGCUCAACCGGGGAAGGUCAUUGGAAACUGAAGGGCUUGAGUACAGAAGAGGAAAGCGGAAUUCCACGUGUAGCGGUGAAAUGCGUAGAGAUGUGGAGGAACACCAGUGGCGAA
rnacentral:rRNA from 1 species